rnacentral:rRNA from 1 species
UACGUAGGGUGCAAGCGUUGUCCGGAAUUAUUGGGCGUAAAGGGUGCGUAGGCGGGUCUUUAAGUCAGGGGUGAAAUCCUGGAGCUCAACUCCAGAACUGCCUUUGAUACUGAAGAUCUUGAGUUCGGGAGAGGUGAGUGGAACUGCGAGUGUAGAGGUGAAAUUCGUAGAUAUUCGCAAGAACACCAGUGGCGAAGGCGGCUCACUGGCCCGAUACUGACGCUGAGGCACGAAAGCGUGGGGAGCAAACAGGG